GACAGAGGAUGCAAGCGUUAUCCGGAAUGAUUGGGCGUAAAGCGUCUGUAGGUGGCUUUUUAAGUCCGCCGUCAAAUCCCAGGGCUCAACCCUGGACAAGCGGUGGAAACUACCAAGCUGGAGUACGAUAAGAGCAGAGGGAAUUUUCGUUGGAGCCGUGAAAUGCGUAGAGAUCGGAAAGAACACCAACUGCGAAAGCACUCUGCUGGGCCGACACUGACACUGAGAGACGAAAGCUAGGGGAGCAAAU
rnacentral:rRNA from 1 species